AUUGAACGCUGGCGGCAGGCCUAACACAUGCAAGUCGAACGAGUGGCGGACGGGUGAGGAAUGUCUGGGAAACUGCAAGAUGGAGGGGGAUAACUACUGGAAACGGUAGCUAAUACCGCAUACCAUCGGAUGUGCCCAGAUGGGAUUAGCUAGUAGGUGGGGUAACGGCUCACCUAGGCGACGAUCCCUAGCUGGUCUGAGAGGAUGACCAGCCACACUGGAACUGAGACAGGGUCCAGACUCCUACGCGAGGCAGCAGUGGGGAAUAUUGUACAAUGGGCGCCAGCCUUAUGCAGCCCUGCCGCGUGUAUGAAGAAGGCCUUCGGGUUGUAAAGUCCUUUCAGCGGGGAGGCGUUACCCGCAGAAGAAGCACCGGCUAACUCCGUGCCAGCAGCCGCGGUAAUAC
rnacentral:rRNA from 1 species